rnacentral:rRNA from 1 species
UGUCUUUUUGAGAAUAAUAUAAGGUCUAAUCUGCCCACUGAUUUAAUUGAAGGGCUGCAGUAUAUUGACUGUACAAAGGUAGCAUAAUCAUUAGUCAUUUAAUUGAUGACUUGUAUGAAGGAUUGGAUGAAAUAUAAACUGUCUUUUUAUUAAUAAUAGAAUUUAAUUUUUUAAUUAAAAAGUUAAAAUAUUUUAAAAAGACGAGAAGACCCUAUAGAGUUUUAUAAAUAAAAUAAUUAAGAUUAUUUAAUUUAAUAAAAUUAAGAUUAUAUUAUUUAUUUUGUUGGGGUGACAGAAAAAUAUAUUUAACUUUUUUUUUUAUUUAAAACAUUUAUAAGUGGUUAAAUGAUCCAAUAUUAUUGAUUAUAAGAAAAAAUUACCUUAGGGAUAACAGCGUAAUUUUUUUUUUUAGUUCAAAUAAGAAAAAGAGUUUGCGACCUCGAUGUUGGAUUAAGAUAAAAUUUAAAUGCAGAAG